ensembl:lncRNA
GUUCAAAACAGCUGCUAGGAACAUGAAAGCAACCUUGUUUUAGGGGAUUAAGAUGGCCUAGGGCAAAACAACAGGGAGAACGUCUUCCUCCAAACUCAACUACUUUGUGCAGUAAGUUAAGAAGAGGAUGAUAUGUGCAGAGGUGGUAUACCUUGUGGGCAAUAGAGAGCUGAAAGAGAGACAGAGGAAGUGCCAACACAGAGGUAACCAGGAAAAUUCUAGAGUUUGGGACUUCCGCACGUCUUCACAGCACUUGAGGAUGCAGUAAGUAAAAUUGUCCCCUCUUGGAGCAUGGCAGCCUUCUCCAGUCACCUCCCACCAAAUGAAAGCCCACUAACCUGCAGCCCCAGGUACAGGAAGAGAAGAGACUGUGAGAGAAGAAUACCUCCAUGAGGACAGGGACAAGAGGCAGCAGGCCUAAAAAAUGCUUCUGCAGACCAGCAGCCAGAGGGGCUCUUUUGGCUAAGGACAUCAACCCCUGUAAUUGUAGGAGGGAGCCCACCAGGACACACAGUCAGUGAGCAGCAGAUCUCUGUCAUGCCCUUCCAGGGAGCAGGAGCUCUCCCAAGAAAUGUAUCUCUGGAAGCAACCUCAUAGGUGGUCAUCUCCUCUUUCCUGUGUAAGAGCAGCAGCUGCAGCUCCUCUGCUCACUACUCAGCCAUCCUUGCAUCCUUGCGUGGACAGCUCUGUUGCCAUCUUCUACGGAGAGGACAGAGUGGCUGUCCUGGUCCCUGAGGGCAGGGACCCGGGCCUGGCAUUCCCCGAUGCUUUCAGCAUGGACUGAGAGCAGUGCCAGUCCUUCAAGGCAGCAAAGGGCAGAAGGCAAUGAUGUUGGGCGUCCACAGUGGGACUGAGAAGAUAGAGGCCCCAGUGCUGCUGCUUCUGGCUGCAGUAGGACAGGCAGCGACCCUGGGAACAGCAGAGAUAUGCCUCUGUGGGCAGCACCUCUCCUUGCUGUGGUAUCUGUCUCCUUCAAUACCCCUGCUUCACUUUCAGAGAAGGAUCUAUCCCCGCCUCCCCCAAUGCUUGUGCCAGGCUCAGGCACUCCCUGCAGCCAGAGACCUGCACAGCCAUGUGGGCACUCAGACUGGGUCACCACAGUGAGCUCAGGGAGAGGAAGGGGUUGAUCCAGAGUGGCAGCAGCCACAGGGACCUGGAGAUACUGGCUCCUGUUGCCUGCAGGGAGCUGGCCUGUGUGCUGCUUCCUGGUCUGUCACAGCCUCCAAAUCCCACUGGAGCCAGCCUCCCAGUCCCCCACAUGCAGGAACUCACAGGGUACACAAGGUGGUGAUCCUUGUCCCUACCCUUCCAUCCAGGAAUAGCUAGCUGUGCCACAGGGCAAGGAAACUCCUCAAGACUGGACUGUGAAAGCCCUAGAGUAGCUAGUAAAACCAUGACAUCAUGUCCAACCCACAGGCCGCUUGCAACCCAGCCCAGCAUGUUUUGCUGCCAGCCCCUGUUCUGCACCGCAAUGGCAGCACUGAGCAGCCCUGCUUGGCCCUGCGUGUGCAGCCAUCACACCCAUCACUCACAGCAACCACACAACAGUGUGCUGUCAGAGCUGUGUAGGCUGCAACCAGGUGACGUCGCAGUGCAGUGCCAGCUAAAGUGGUGGCAAAUAAUUAUAUGCAUUUUGAUACGUUGGCUGAACGGUGUCCUGGAAAGACUGAAAAACGUGCAGCUGUGCUUUCUGUUUUGAUAAAGGAGUUUUUAGAACAGGUUUCAAGAGUGUCAAAAAAAUCAAUUUUUUAAAAAAUAUAUUUGAAACUCUAUUUUCAGUUAACAUAAAUACAUUCCUUGUGAUUUUUGAAAUGGAAUAUGUAGAGUUGCAAUCAAAUAUUCAAUGUAAAGAAAAAUGUGACCAUGUCUCUUUACCGGGUUUCUAUAAGCCCUCUCUUACGAGAUAAAGGUAUCUCACAUUUCACAACCAUUAUUGAUGUCAUCACUUUCUGGCAGCACGCACAUCUGUGAGCAACUGUUUUCAAGGAUGAAGUACAAGAAGAGUAAGAUUUCAUCAAAAAUCUCUGGUAAACACCGUGAGAGCUCACUGAGAAUUGUGCCCACUGCCAUCAAACCAGACUGAUGUGUUAGUUUCACUGGCACAAGGUCACACAUCUCACUAACAGUAUGGUUUUGUUGCUCUCUUUAAAAAAAAAUGUUUGAAUAAAGAACAUUUUAAUUUCUUUUUC